rnacentral:rRNA from 1 species
GAAUAUUGCGCAAUGGCCAAAAGGCUGACGCAGCGACGCCGCGUGGAGGAUGAAGUCCGUUAGGACGUAAACUCCUUUUGUAGGGGAAGAAUGUCCGCCUACGGCGGAAGGGACGGUACCCUGCGAAUAAGGAUCGGCUAACUACGGGCCAGCCGCCGCGGUAAUACGUAGGAUCCGAGCGUUGUCCGGAAUUACUGGGUGUAAAGGGCGUGUAGGUGGGUCUCUAAGUCGAUGGUGAAAUCCUGCAGCUCAACUGUAGAAUUGCCGUCGAUACUGGAGGUCUUGAGUGCGGCAGAGGGAGAUGGAAUUCAUGGUGUAGCGGUGAAAUGUGUAGAUAUCAUGAAGAACACCGGUUGCGAAGGCGGUCUCCUGGUCCGUUACUGACACUGAGGCGCGAAAGCGUGGGGAGCAAACAGG